GAUGAACGCUGGCGGCGUGCCUAAUACAUGCAAGUCGAGCGAACAGACGAGGAGCUUGCUCCUCUGACGUUAGCGGCGGACGGGUGAGUAACACGUGGUUAACCUACCUAUAAGACUGGGAUAACUUCGGGAAACCGGAGCUAAUACCGGAUAAUAUAUUGACCCGCAUGGUUCAAUAGUGAAAGACGGUUUUGCUGUCACUUAUAGAUGGAUCCGCGCCGCAUUAGCUAGUUGGUAAGGUAACGGAUUACCAAGGCUACGAUGCGUAGCCGACCUGAGAGGGUGAUCGGCCACACUGGAUCUGAGACACGGUCCAGACUCCUACGGGAGGCAGCAGUCGGGAAUCUUCCGCAAUGGGCGAAAGCCUGACGGAGCAACGCCGCGUGAGUGAUGAAGGUCUUCUGAUCGUAAAACUCUGUUAUUAGGGAAGAACAAAUGUGUAAUUAACUAUGCACGUCUUGACGGUACCUGAUCAGAAAGCCACGGCUAACUACGUG
rnacentral:rRNA from 1 species